AGACUUAUGGAAGGAGGAGUCACCACCUGGGAGCGUUGUGGAUGACAAGAUCCUGGUCCAAGAGGAAGAAGAUCCAUCUGUCAAGUUGCAGAGCUACACCCGUGACUCCGGUGUGUGCACGCCCAAUGAUGUUGACUUCCAGCUGCUUCAACAAGAUGUGCCUGAGCCAUGUGAGGUUGUCGAGAUCGAAACCUGCAGCCAGGCACCAGGAGACAGUGAUCCCACCUCAGAAUCUGUCUACUCUUCCAACACAUCCAGAAAUUCUGAUGAAGGAGAAAUGCAUCAAAGCCAGAAGGAAGAUCUCGGUGGUAGACCAUUGGAUGGGCCUUUACCCCAGGACGUGGAACAGAUGACCCCCACCACCUGGAAUGACAUGUGUUUUCAUGUCCACCUAGCAAAUGAGCCCUGCUCAGAUGCGUUACACAUGAGAAAGGAGCGGGUCAUCAAAAUAUAUUACAUGUAUGUGAAAAGGCAGAGAGAGGCCCACACUGUAUCUGACACACAGGAAGGCUUGCUGCCUCCCAAGAAGAGGGCAAGAGUGCAAGAACUGAGCUACACUGGGCAAGUCCCUUCGGAGGCCAGCUCUUCUUCUGUGCUUACAGAAGAUAUGAUCCUCAGCAGUGAGGCCAGUGCUGACACAGCC